rnacentral:rRNA from 1 species
UACGUAGGGUGCAAGCGUUGUCCGGAAUCAUUGGGCGUAAAGCGCACGUAGGCGGUUCGUUAUGUCGGAUGUGAAAGCCCUUGGCUUAACCGAGGAAGUGCAUCCGAAACUGGCGAGCUAGAGUACUAAAGAGGAUCGCGGAAUUCCCGGUGUAGAGGUGAAAUUCGUAGAUAUCGGGAGGAACACCGGUGGCGAAGGCGGCGAUCUGGGUAGAUACUGACGCUGAGGUGCGAAAGCGUGGGGAGCAAACAGG